rnacentral:rRNA from 1 species
UACGUAGGGGCCUAGCGUUGUCCGGAUUUAUUGGGCGUAAAGAGCUCGUAGGCGGUUUGUCGCGUCUGCCGUGAAAGUCCGGGGCUCAACUCCGGAUCUGCGGUGGGUACGGGCAGACUAGAGUGUGGUAGGGGAGACUGGAAUUCCUGGUGUAGCGGUGAAAUGCGCAGAUAUCAGGAGGAACACCGAUGGCGAAGGCAGGUCUCUGGGCCACUACUGACGCUGAGGAGCGAAAGUGUGGGGAGCGAACAGG